rnacentral:rRNA from 1 species
UACGUAGGGUGCAAGCGUUAAUCGGAAUUACUGGGCGUAAAGCGUGCGCAGGCGGUUUUGUAAGUCUGUCGUGAAAUCCCCCGGGCUCAACCUGGGAAUGGCGAUGGAGACUGCAAGGCUAGAAUCUGGCAGAGGGGGGUAGAAUUCCACGUGUAGCAGUGAAAUGCGUAGAUAUGUGGAGGAACACCGAUGGCGAAGGCAGCCCCCUGGGCUAAGAUUGACGCUCAUGCACAGGAAAAGCGUGGGGAGCAAACAGG